GGGGGUGUAGCUCAGUGGUAGAGCACUUGCCCAGCACGUGAGAGGCCCUGAGUUCCAACCCCAGCACCACAA
rnacentral:tRNA from 1 species